rnacentral:misc_RNA from 1 species
AAGUCGUAACAAGGUUUCCGUAGGUGAACCUGCGGAAGGAUCAUUACCGUGGGGCUUCGGCCCUGUCGUGAUAGAACCCUUGCCUUUUGAGUACCGUCCGUUUCCUCGGCAGGCCCGCCUGCCAAUGGGGACCCCCAAUAAACCCUUUUAUGUACCUGUAUCAGUCUGAAAAACAAACAAAAGUUAAAACUUUCAACAACGGAUCUCUUGGUUCUG